rnacentral:rRNA from 1 species
UAUAAGUAAGUGGUGGAAGAAAACAUAAACAAUGAAUUCUUUAAGUAAUGGCGAAUGAACAAAGACAUAGUCAUUUUGAAAAUUGUGGUCCGUGAUCAUGAAUUGUAAUAUUCAAAAUGCAUUGCUAACAAAAUUGCAUAUGUUAGUUUAUUGGAAAGAACAUUACAAAGGGUGAAAAUCCCAUGUGUCAUGUGUAUGUUUUGUGUACAGUGUGCAUUUCAUGAUUCACAUUCAUUGACAAUUGAAUGUAAAGCGAAUGGUAAACUUCAUUUAAACAUAAAUAUGUUGUUGAAAACUUAUAUCGAACAAAUACCAUGAGGGAAAUGUGAAAAGGAUUUUGAAAAGAAAAUUAAAAGAGCUUACAAUUGCUGGAUUGAUAAGCAAACAAAACACACAUGUGUAUGUGCAAGAUUGUUGUCAUGUUGUGCAAUUCAUGCAAAUUAACAUUGCUUUGGUUUUUGUGUAAUUUUGUCAGCUUUGGAAUUGAGAAUGAUUUUUUUGAGUGUGAAUGGAUUGUUGUUUGUUAACAAAGGAAUGCACUUUCAAAAUCAUUGUUUGAUUUGUCAAUCAAGUUUGUGGCGUGUGUUGUGUGUCAAAUUUAAUUAUAUAAUUCACAAAACACAUGAAGUUUGAGCUAUUAAGGCAAUUCUUGUUUUGUUUGACCCGUCUUGAA